CACGUCAUCCACCGCCGCGUCCUCCGACGGGGCGGCGGCCUCGAGCAGAGUCCACAGGUGCUCCAUCUGCCACAAGGAGUUCCCCACCGGGCAGGCGCUCGGCGGGCACAAGAGGAAGCACUACGACGGUGGCGCGAGCGCCGCGGCCUCCACCGACCUCCUUGCCACCGCGGCGGCCGCCGAGACAUCCGAGGUGGGGAGCUCCGGCAACGGCAGCUCCGCCGCCCGGGCGUUCGAUCUGAACCUCCCGGCCGUGCCGGAGUUCGUGUUCCGGUGCGGCAAGGCCGGCAAGAUGUGGGAGGAGGACGAGGAGGUGCAGAGCCCGCUCGCCUUCAAGAAGCCCCGCCUCCUGAUGACCGCGUGAAGAAGAACCGGAUCUGAUCCCUCCCAAGAUUUUGGUCUAGCUGCAGAGUUCGGUGGAACACUAUUCGUUCAUUCAUUCGUGUAUGGUGCCAGCACUAUUGUUUGAUUUGUUGUUA
rnacentral:lncRNA from 1 species